ensembl:lncRNA
CUGAUAUUGUAAUUGCAUCAUUUGGCGCUAAUGACGAUACUUAAUUGAUAUUCAGUACCUAAAAAAUAUUAAGAAUAAAUCCUUGUGCUUGUAGCUUGAAAUUGCAUACUGUGCCUGACAUGUCAAGUUAUAAAACACAGUUUGUUCUGACUCAUACUUUUUUUUGUUCUGGUUUUCAUUUCAAGCUAGCAGCUAACCCCUGACUCCUAAUAUUUAGAUUCUACUACAGUUAAAGUGCAUUUUCCAGGAUUUGAUUAGUAUGUGAUGUUUCCAAAUAAUCAACAUAUCUUUGCUAUUUAUAUAUUGUUUACAUUAAAUUCUGUUCAUGCCAUCACGAUAUCACAGCAGAAAUUGAGACUGAGCAAACCAGACCAUUUUUUAAAAAUUAUUCUGUUCUCCAAUUUUAGUAAGUCCAACAGCCAACACGAGACCAAAAGUGCUGUACAAUAAAUAAGUUAAGAACAAUAGAUAAAACAAAAUGGCAAAAAUAAAAUCAAAAAUAAAAUAAAUAUUAAAACAGCCAUAUAUUAAGAAAAAUAUAUAAAACAACAUACAUUCAACUAAAAAACAACUAAAAUAAAAAUAAACUAAAAAAAAAAAACAGGCUAGGGUGAAGGUGAAGUGAUUUAAAAACAGGCAGAAAAGAGUCCUGCCUAAUCUCUAGAGGCAGAUCCUUCUACAGUUUGGGAGCUGCUACAGAAAAAGCACGGUCUCCUCUAAGUUUAUGCUGAGUACAUUCAGCUAAUCAGCUGACCCGAGAGAGCGGGUGGGUGUAUAAGGCUGGAGCAGCUCAGAGAGAUAAGAUGAGGCUCGGUCAUGGAGGGCUUUUAUUAAAGCAAUUCAAAGAAUUUUAAAAUGAGUCCUAAAAGGAAUGGGCAGCCAGUGAAAUGAAGGUUAAACAGGGAAAUUGUGCUCAAAAUUUCGAGUGCCAGUUAAAAGAUGAGCUGCAGCAUUUUGCACCCUGGAGAUGAGUAAUGGAUGAAGCACUGACCCCUAAAUAAAGUGC